GUCCAGACUCUCUGUACAAAUGAAAUGAAAUGAAGUGAAGUACGAGAGUCUGGUAGAACCAGGCUACAGUUUGCCCUUACCUCGGUUUGACAAUACAAAAUACUGAAACAUGAUUAUGGGAGCUGCUUAUGAACACUCGUUUGGAAUAUAAUGCCUACUUCUGCAGGAACAGGAGGAUAACAAACCCUAGUCCGAUUUUCCCUUGAUGGGCUAUAGGGAAAGAGGCAUGGUGACCUCUGACCGCAAGGUGGUCUGAGGUCUCCUGAGGCCUAAUCCAGUGACUAAGAUCAGAGAGGAUCCACCCCUAUGGGACAUGGUACAUCAAGACAACACAUUCAAUUUCAUCAUAGAAUAAAUGCACGUUGCCUGUUGCAAUACUUCUAUAUUCGCUCCAUGGAUGAUCGGAUGAUGCUGAUUACGUCAACUCAACUAUUAGCCUGGCGCACCUUUCCAGCAUGAAGGCUAUGCUUCUGUUCUGUACCUUCAGUCUAUUGUCUGAACUUGCAGGGAAUUAAAAGUUGGGCUUUGUAUGAAGCAAGCAACACAGGACAGGAAACCAGUUGUUUGGGUUACUAUGAUUACAUGAAAUAUAAGACGCUGCUUAAUCCAUCGAUGUUGGAAUUAAAGAAAGAAUGCUUAUCAAAAAACCUCCCAUGCUAUCACCACCUUCCCCGCACGCUACCACACACACCCGGCCAGACAGAGGCUCCCCGAGGCUUUAAAAACUUCCCAAAGUUAGAUGUUAAAACCAAA